rnacentral:rRNA from 1 species
CCUACGGGGUGCAGCAGUGGGGAAUAUUGCACAAUGGGCGCAAGCCUGAUGCAGCCAUGCCGCGUGUGUGAAGAAGGCCUUCGGGUUGUAAAGCACUUUCAGCGGGGAGGAAGGCGGUGAGGUUACUAACCUCAUCGAUUGACGUUACCCGCAGAAGAAGCACCGGCUAACUCCGUGCCAGCAGCCGCGGUAAUACGGAGGGGUGCAAGCGUUAAUCGGAAUUACUGGGCGUAAAGCGCACGCAGGCGGUCUGUCAAGUCGGAUGUGAAAUCCCCGGGCUCAACCUGGGAACUGCAUUCGAAACUGGCAGGCUAGAGUCUUGUAGAGGGGGGUAGAAUUCCAGGUGUAGCGGUGAAAUGCGGAGAGAUCUGGAGGAAUACCGGUGGCGAAGGCGGCCCCCUGGACAAAGACUGACGCUCAGGUGCGAAAGCGUGGGGAGCAAACAGGAUUAGAUACCCCAGUAGUC